rnacentral:tRNA from 1 species
GGUUCUAUGGUGUAAUGGUUAGCACGCUGGACUCUGAAUCCAGCAAUCUGAGUUCAAAUCUUGGUAGGACAU